rnacentral:rRNA from 1 species
AUUGAACGCUGGCGGCAGGCCUAACACAUGCAAGUCGAGCGGAUGAAGGGAGCUUGCUCCUGGAUUCAGCGGCGGACGGGUGAGUAAUGCCUAGGAAUCUGCCUGGUAGUGGGGGAUAACGUCCGGAAACGGGCGCUAAUACCGCAUACGUCCUGAGGGAGAAAGUGGGGGAUCUUCGGACCUCACGCUAUCAGAUGAGCCUAGGUCGGAUUAGCUAGUUGGUGGGGUAAAGGCCUACCAAGGCGACGAUCCGUAACUGGUCUGACAGGAUGAUCAGUCACACUGGAACUGAGACACGGUCCAGACUCCUACGGGAGGCAGCAGUGGGGAAUAUUGGGCAAUGGGCGAAAGCCUGGUCCAGCCAUGCCGCGUGUGUGAAGAAGGUCUUCGGAUUGUAAAGCACUUUAAGUUGGGAGGAAGGGCAGUAAGUUAAUACCUUGCUGUUUUGACGUUACCAACAGAAUAAGCACCGGCUAACUUCGUG